rnacentral:lncRNA from 1 species
UGAGAGCAGCCGCCCCAGCCGCGCCGGCGCCGUCACAGGCGAGGCCGGGGUCGCCCCCCGCCUGGCCUGGGCCUAGGCGCUGGGGGCCUCCAGGUGGGGGCGCUUAGGCCUCCUUGGAGGCCUGGCUGGCCACGCGCAUGGCGCGCUUCUUGGCCAGCGACUCCGAGCUGUGAGAUGGGGUGGGAGCAGGUUCAAGGUGGGGGAUAUGGGGAUGAGUAAGAAAAGUCGAGCCGAUGGGUGCACACAGUAGCACCAGCAUGCAUGCAAUCCAAUGGGCGUGGUGGUGCGCCUGGUUUACGCGCGAAGUCGCUACAAACAGCGGACCUCCCAGCACCCGCAAUGGCUGCGACGGUACUGCCACUUCCGCCCUCGUGUCCUCACCGGCGCUCGCGCUGCUCCUUGAGGCGCUGCAUGAGCAGCUUGUGGUACUCGGCCGCGUCGGUCUUGUUCUUCUCCUGCUGGCGCUUCUUCAGGCUCUUGCGGGCGCGCUUGCGCUGCAGGGCGGCGGGGGUCACCAGCCUGCGGUGGCAUCGCGCGAGCGAGGAAGCAGCCAGGCGGCGUCAAGAAUGGAAGGAGCCAGUGUGUCGUCGCCAAAUCUGUGCCAUGAGCCCGUGCAACACCCGCCCUGACGCGCCCUGCUGCUGUGUCUGUAAGAGCCGCCCGCCCGCACCCGAACCCCACGGCGCCGCAAGCCACCCACCGCUGGAUCUUGGGGCACUUGCGGUGCUUCUUGCCGUUCUUGUCGGUCCGCUCGCGCGAGUAGAUGGUGACGUACCUGGAAGCGAGGGGCAGGGAGGAAGGGGGGUGGGGCAGAGACAUGGGGUCAAUUAAUGCAGCCUCAAGACGAAGAAACGUUGAACUUUCUGUCGCUGUCUCCCGCAUCCUUGCUGCGCCUUCGGCAGCAGUUGUAAGCCACCGCUGCUCAUAUGCCCUGUCAUCUGUCUGCACAUUUGCCAGCCCGCCUGGGGCUCUGUGGUCAAGCUGCUUGCAGGAUGCACCGCCAGGGCUGCAUGGCUGCGCCGCCGAGUUGCACGUGUACAACGCCAGCUCGGUGCCACGGCCAGAACGCCAACCCCAUGGUGCUCGCCGCUACUAAUGGCACUGCCCGGUGUCGCUGCUUUGUGGCAGCUGCACACCGCGGCGGCGGUUGCAUACCACAUGACCAUGCUAACCGCCAGCUGCGCGCCCGCGGACACCAGGCUGCAGCUCCGGCUGAGGGCAGCUCCACAGGUCCGAGCUGCCCCUGGUGCUGCUGGCCCGCCGCUGCAGCUGCCAGCUCCAGCUGCCAGCUCCGGCUGUCGCUCCAGAACCAGGGCUCCGCCGGCGCUUGGCGCAUGUUGAUCCAGCCGAUCGUCUGAGCACUUUGUACUACAUCUCACCCGAUCUGCCAUUGGACAGGGAUUCCUAGCCGCCGCCAGUGCCCGGGACCCCUCCCUGCCCACCCAGUUCCCGCUUCCCCGCACCACUCGCCCCUCCCUUUGCCUCCCAAAUCCACUUCCUCGCCCUCCCAGCCGCCACCCGCCACUCGCAAGCAACCCCUAGUUCCCGCCCCCCAAAAUGCAUAUAAUACCCAGGCACUCACUUGCGCACGUCGUCCACCUUGCCCAGGUUGAACAUCUUGCGGAUCUUGCUCGCGCGCUUGGGGCCGCGGAUGCGGGGCUUCUCCUCGUCAGUCAGGCCGGGCAGCUCCUGCUCGCCCUUCUUGACAAUGACCAGGUUCAGCACGGCCAGGUCGGGCGACACGAUGCAGCCGCGAACCGACUUCCGGCGGCGCUCGCCUGGAGCCAUCAAUCAGAUGUGCACAGGCAAGGCGGAGCCAGGGAAGGCCGAGAGGGAGCGCCAGAGCACGCGCGCCAGAGCAGAGAGCAGCAGCACGCCACGCCACGAGCAGCAGCAGAGCAGCAGUCGGCGGCAGGCACGGCGAUUGCAGGGCAACGGGACGAGAGGGAUAGGGAAACGGGCAUGUCAGUACCGGGCCCGUACUUGGUUGCAGACAGAACACAAACGCAUCUAACAGCUGCCCCCCCCCCCCCCUGCCCUUGCUGGCAGGCUGGUCCGGCUGUCGUGGCUGCCACUGCUGUACACCUAGCCUAGUACACCAGCGGCGCCGACUGGGCCCGCUGCAACGUGCUUGCUGCAGGCUGCAUGUUGCUGUGCCCUUCCCGGUUCUUGCUAGGCGAAGGAGCGGCAUCCAACCAGCCAACAUCGCCAGCAGCACCGCGAAGCCUGAGCGUGCCCGCAUGCGUCCUCUGCCCAUCCCCCUGCGCCUGCCCGGCCGCGACUGGCUGGGUCGCUGGCUGCGCCGAGCAGGUCCUGUCCCCAAGCAGGUCGCAUUGAAGACGCAGGCACAGGCUGGCAUGUGGUUAGAGCUGUGGGGGCUGCCAGAGCUGCCGGGGCUGCUGCAAUUUCUGCUGCGGUGGGGAGCGCCGCAUGCUCUGACGCCGGCGCAGCCGCGGUCCCCGUCCUGCAGCCCCGCCGCCUGCUGUGUUUGUUGCUUCCUCCCCUUCGAAUCACCAGCUGCAGCCACUCCACCACGCCCUGACCAGCCCCAGCAGCAUCACAGCUCCUCGUUCAGACUGUGCGCUGUGGCUUUUGCCCCACGCCGCCAGCCAGCACCAGGGCAGCACUGCGCGGCCCCCGCAGGGCGAGCCCGCACACGCCGGCAGUAGGGACCCGCCGGCGUCGCCCGGGUCGGCCCAGUUCCUCCAGCGACGUGUCCGGUGUAGUAUUUGCGAAUCAUUAUGCCAAGGUCACCCAGCCAGCACGCUCGCCUGCGGCUCCGGUCCGCCGAUGCUGCUGCGCCCUCCCGCCGCUCGCGCCGAAAAGAUGGUUUCCAGCUUGCUGCCGCUGAUAAAAUGCUGAUGUUACAGAAUUCGCCUGUAACUAUGGUCCAUUAUCCACGCUGCAAAGGCGCCAUAGCGCCACCGUCACCCGCAGCCGACCGACCAAAAACUGCCGGCUUGCCUGCGCCCCCACGCCAUUUUUUGCUAGUAACUCACCCUUCCGGCGGCCGUAGCCGCGGAAGCCCUGGUCGCCGGGGGUCAUCAGCAGACGCACGCGGGCAUUGGUCAGGACACCCUGCUUCAUGGCGAAGCCCUGCUUGUCCUGGCCACCAGCGAUCUUCAGAACGUAGCCCUGUCAGCGGAACGGCGGAAGCAGCCCAGCAGUAAGUGGCCGCUCCAGUGAGGUGCGGGCGGCCGGCGGCCGCCCAGCCCCGCGAACACAGACAAUUUUUGGCACCAGCUGUUCCGCAGCAAACGCACCUUGAACUCCUCGCCCAGGACCUCGCCAUCGACCUCAGCGGCCACACGGCGGUCGUAGAAGGCACGCAGCUUGGCCUCAUCGUCCACCUCCAGCUUCUUUUGGCAGCCGGUUGCCGGGUAGGCAAUGUUGAGCUUCAUUUUUGUUGAAGCUGCUCACCUGCAGCGGCGCAAGAACGCUGUCACUCAGCAAGUCGCCGGGAAAUGCGCUGCGGUCGGCCAGCCGCGUCGACCAAAAGCCAGCCCCAGCGCUUAUGUCAAAGGCAGAGCCUCCAAAAUCAUGCACAAAUGAUAUUGCGACCUCGCCGCUGCGCCGGUCACCGCUCUCGGCGGCGCUCUCUUCCCGCGCUGAGUGCAAACCCGCCCUUGCUAUUGUUUGCUCUAGGAACUAACCUGGAUGGCGCGCAGAAAGAGAGAGCCAUAAGCGCGGCACACCGGGUUGUCCCCCGCCGAGCGAGCGCCCCCCAUGCAAUUGCCCAUGCCGGUUCUUCGCGAGCCCCAGCAGAGCGCUUAUAUGUGAUGCUGCGCUUGAUUGCGUGUGCAGAGAUCAGCUCAGUAUUAAUAGUGCCUGACCGGUUAAUGCCCAAAACGACAUGUCCAGCAUUCCAACCAGACUGUCGCUCGCUUUUGUCCCCAGCCAUAUGGCCUCUUGCAGAAACUCUACUGUCGGCAUCUGGCGGUUACUCGGAAAGUGUCAAUGCGAUGUGGUUGGGACAGAGCGCCCUCUCCACCUGUAUCCGAGGAGGAUACGCCACAGGGUAGCUAGUUCAUCCUGUACCGUGGGGACACACUGACACGGCGCCUGCAGCUAGAAUUGCGCGCGCUGGCAUGCUACCGUACAUCAGUCGCGAGCAAGGGCUGCUUGUGUCGUACUCCACGCUGGCGGUAGGAGGCGGCAGGAGCCGGGUGCUCGGGCUCUGUGCUCAGUGAGUGUAGGUGACCUUGCUGUUCUGUGCUUAGCCUGACAGCUUAACCACCCUGGGAUAGUCCUUGCGCUACGCCGUUCUCAAGUUCAUAAGUGUAUGUGGGGUCAGGCAGGCCGUGUGGCUCGCCGGCUGCCGACACGUGCGCUUCGCACGCCGCCACCUAGCCUGUGCAAGGCUCCUGCGAGAGUCUGAUGUGCCCGAUGCAGGUGCCGCCUGCCCCACGCUUGAUGGCGGGCGGGGCCGUCGAUCAGCUGGCAGCAGUCGUCGUACACACAUGGCGCAUUAGGGCCUGGGCAUUGCAGCACCAGGGACUGCGGGUUGGGGGCACUGCUGGUGGCGAGGGGGCCAUAAGGAGAUUGGGGGUUCAAGGGGUUAGAUGGCGUAUCAGCAGGGCCAGGGGGUUUCUCUGCUGAGUUCCGUGGGCUGAGGGCUGGGGUUGGUGGUAGGGAUCGGCCGUACGGACGACACACUGCCGCCCGUUGUGUGCUGCCGGUGCGCGCGGCCAUGGGGCCGCUACCUUGCACAGCGCUCCCGGUGUUUGUCAAUACCAUGUAUGCGCCGGACUUAACUUUGUAGGGAGCGGACGCGCAUAUGGCUGUAGUUGCACCUGGUGAGCAGAGUUGGAUUCGGGGCACCAAGGCGCACGGACACGCCCUCAUUUGUGUGUGCUUGCCACUGGGGCGUUCACUGGCUGGUUGCAGUGCGGGGGGCCGCCCAUCCUGCUCACUGCCUACACGGUGAAGGCGGGGACCGUGCUACAAAUGGCUCCACAGUUAGCCGCCCUGAAGGCUAAGCAUUUGCAGUAUGUGUGCGAUGCGGGUGUGUCGGGGGUGGGGGCUGCCCUGGCGGCGGGGGCCUUCGUGUGCACCUUGGCCCGCUUGUGGUCGCUGAAAUGGGAGAAUCAUCAUAAGGAAGCACUGUGGCGUGUGGCCGCCAACGCUUGCUGGGCGUUUCCACGGCAUGCUAGCGAGCGGGCGCGAGGCGUUGCUGUUGACCCGUGUUGGGCGUGUGGGGUUGACAUGCAGGAUGGGGACCGGCGUCACUGGUUUUGGGACUGCACUGUGGCGCUGUCCCUGCGGGAAAACAUGGGAAUGGCUAUGGGUUUCGUGCCAGAGGAUGCUCUAAGUGCCUUCUCUCGUGAGGAGUUGUGGUUGGUGCGCCCGCCUGAUGGGCUUGCGCCACCUGUGUGGGAUGUGGUGUGUCUCGCUGCUAUGUCUGCCCUGGACUUUGGUCGGCAGCGUAUGGUUAUGGCCGGGCUGGCGGCGCGAGCGAAGCUGCCGUCGGCCCGGGUGCUGAGCAUUGGACUUGCCGUCGUAGCUGACUUCUGGGGUCGGCUCCAGACGUUUGUGACUUUGGGUAUCAGGCCAAAGGGUUGGGACGCUGUGCCGUUUGCGCAUCCCUUCAUAUCUCGGGCUGUUGGUGACGGCAUGGUUUUGCGCUUGCCGUAUGACGCUGAUUCCCCGCCUCCCUCGCCGUGAGAGGUUGUGCGUGGUUGGUGGCUUUGUGUGUGGGCAGGAUUCACGCGUGGGCGACUGUUCUAGUACCUGGACGCUUGCGCCCUGGUUAGUGCGUGCGCUGUGCGUGUGUCCUGCGGCCUAGACGUUUCCCGGCACUUCUGUGCCUAGGCUUGUGACGUUGAGGCACAGCGGUGGGGCUCUGGCGGGUUGAGGCUUGGCUAGGACUCACUGUGCGCGGAGUCACACGGACUUUGCCCGCGGGAGGGUUUGCAGCAAAGUCGGGGUUGGUGGAGUCAUGUUGGGCCCUGAUAGCAUGUGAUGGCUCGGCGUCUUCGGGUGCUGGGACUGUCCCCUCUGUAACAUCCGCAUUCUUACUGCCACGUGUGGGUGGGGGCGAGGUAUUGUACGUCUUAGUUGGGUCUUACAUAAACAGUGGUUGACAGCUGGGAACAGCUGAGAGCCGCGCGCGCUGGGUUCACCGCGAGGCGGUGUAUGCUGCUGUUGGACCUGCCGGAGCUUCGAGCCUUGAGUAGUUCAUUGGCACCGUUGGCCGGCAACAGCCACACCUCCUCACACACUCGCCUCUGUACGUCGCCCGCCCACAUAAACAAGCAUCACGCCAACCGAAAGUAAGGAUGCUCAUCAACACCCAAAGAGCGGCUUGAUAGCCAUAAACCAAACGAAAGCACGUGCACUGCGCUACGCCCAUAAGCGGACCAUGUGAGUCGCAUGUGCCAUGUGCCAUGGUGCCACCGGGACUCCUUACACAAACCCUUCAAACUUCUGGAAAGCCAGGGCCGCCAGGCAGCCCAGCAGCAGGCCUGCAUGGGCGGCAAGGCCAGCGGCGCUGCCGCCAUCGCUCUUGACACCCGCACCCGGGGCCAGGGUGGGGAUGGGCGCGGCGCCGGGCAGCGGCGCGCUGGUGCUGACGCCUACGGUGGACAAAACCUUGGUGGUCUGGGCUUGGACCUGAAGCACGCUGGUGGAGAAGGUGUUGAAGGCCUGCUUCUGGUCCGUGGAGAGCGUGAGCACGGCGGCCAGGGGCGAGGUGGUGUCGGCGAUCAUGCGGCGGCCGGAGGCGGAGGAGGAGCUGCUGCCGCCGCCCAGCACCUGCACCGGCACCUCGGCCAUGGCAUACAUGGCGAUGAGGGCGUCGGAGAUGAGGUCGGGGAUGGUGAAGCGGUCGUCCAAGCCCACUGCGUGAGGUGGGUGGGGAGAGGAAUGGGUGGAUUGGGCAAGGAGUUGUGCUAGGGUUACGGAAGGUAGAGUGUCCCCCAGUUGCAACGUCGCAAACCACGCGCACUAUAGUAUAGCUAACCGAAGCCAAAAAAGCAAGCGAACUCACUCAGCGUGAGCAGGCCGUAGCCAACAACGCCCGGCACGUAGGCUAGACCGUAGUCCAGGUCUGCCUCGUUGUCCUUUAGGAACUGCACCACGUCCGACACCACCUGCUUUGUCAGGUAGUCGGGGCCGAUGUCGGAGGUGUUGAAGCCAAAGUUCUUCUGCAGUGCCUGGCUCAGGAUGAUGCCACUGCGGGGCGGAGGUGGGAUGGCGGAGGCGUGGGAUGCAUUGGGGACGGUUUGGACAUAGUUAGUAGGAAUGGCGGGGAUGGAGACGGACAUGUAAGGGAGGUGUAGUCCACGUGUGGGUGGGGGCGAGGUAUUGUACCCCUAAGUUGGGUCUUACAUAAACAGUGGUUGACAGUUGGGAACAGCUGAGAGCCGCGCGCGCUGGGUUCACCGCGAGGCGGUGUAUGCUGCUGUUGGACCUGCCGGAGCUUCGAGCCUUGAGUAGUUCAUUGGCACCGUUGGCCGGCAACAGCCACACCUCCUCACACACUCGCCUCUGUACGUCGCCCGCCCACAUAAACAAGCAUCACGCCAACCGAAAGUAAGGAUGCUGAUCAUGCUUCCUUACUUUUGCUGUCUAGCACAUGAUGCAGUGCGUGGAGGGGCGAGACGUGCCUCGCCCAUUCACACAGGCCCACGCGGUGUACCUGCUGGUAUCCGGACCGCACCGCUCACCCGCGCUGGUUGUGAAUGGCAACGAACCCCGCCCAACCCGUCAUGCACGCACAUGUGCCGUGCAUCUCCACCUCGCCUCACCUGUUGGUAACCAGGAAGCGCUUCACCACAGGCAGCGCCAGGUCUUUCAGAGCCGCCAGGGCCAGGUCCAUGUCCUUGGUGGCGAUGUCCGCCACCUUGGUGUUGCACAGAGCCAGGCGCAUCACCACGCCCACGGUCUUGUCGUAGGCGCCCACCCACCAGUCCACCACAGCCGGGAUCUGCAAGUGAAACGUGCGUGAAGACAACAACAGCACCGUGGACUGGUGAGGUACACCCCCUUCCUCACACGCCCCGCGAUUUGCUCUCGAGCCUCUUAAGUCGGUUCUCCUGCAUGUUACCCAACGUUAAACAGUUCCCCAACAAGUCGCACAAAGCACGGAACUUUGUUGUUUCACGCACGCUCCCGGCAACCCCGCCCAGGCUCCCCCUCUCACUCACCGUCUGGAACAUGUUGCCGAUGUACGGUAGUGUUGCCAGGCUCGACAGGAAGGUGGAGUCGGUGGCGAGCUUGCUGGUGAGGAACGUGUCGGCGCCGUCCUUGGAGGCGGCGCAGGCGUUGGCGGCGUCGGGCACGGUGGAGGGGGUCUGGGUGGUGGGCGUGACAACGUCCUUCAGGCUGGGGGCGGCCAGCGCCACCUGGUAGUCCGGGUAGCGCUCCAGCACCUGGAUCAUGCCCUUGAUGGCGGGCUUGAGCUGGGCCAGGCUGCGCGGCGGUGAGGAGAUGCAUGACGGUGGCAUGAUGGUUAUUGUGGUGGUUGUGGUGGUUGUGGAGGACAGGAGGAGAAGAGAGGGAGGGGGGAGGGAAGAGUGCUGGAGGGUCAGGUCCCAAUUCAUUGCACACAAGGCGCACGGCGCACGCCGCAUAGUGCCCCGUAUUCCAUCACCCCAGCCUCAAUCACAGCCCUCUCUCCAACACCCAACUGACUCACUUGGCCUGCAUCUUCUGGAACAUGUCCUUCUCGCCGGCCGUCAUGGUCAGCAUGGCCUUUUCGAAUUCAUCCGAGCCGGGGUUGGCGUUGGCGUCCAGCGCCGUCUUUGUCAUGGUGGCCAGCACAUCCACAACGGCGCCCCACAGUCACACGACUGUCCACGGACACUGUAGGCGUGUCGCGUGCGGCGGGGAUCCCGUUGUUGGCAGGGGUACUUUAUGGGCAGGAAGCGUAUGUGGACAGGUGGUGUGCGUGCUAUAAGCUGGCACGCAUGGCACCCUUGCGGGCCCGUGUGUGUAACCCGUGCCGCCCCGCUCACCACAACUCCUCCCGCGCCGCGCCCCCCCUACUACUGCUGUGCCGUACUCCAGUCGUCCGCCAGCUUGCCCCCGCCCCCCCGCCCCAGACUCACGCAGCUCUGCGCCCAGGCCGACCAGCACGCCCACAAUGCCAAAUGGGUUGUUGGCGACGUAGCCCAGCACGCUGCCGUAGUCGUAGUCGGCACCCACCGCACCGCCCGCCAGGUCGGCCGCCUCCACCAGCAGCGACAGCGUGUCCUCAUCCGUGCUGCUGGUGAAGGCCUGGAUGAAAUUGGUUGCGAGCUGGACGUUGUCGCGAGUGAGGUAGGCAUUCACGUUCUUGGUGGCGAAUCCAAGGUCGUUGUUGAUUAGGUCGAAGAGCACGGAGCCGGGGGUGGUGUCCAGCGCGCUCUGGGCCACGGGCACGAGCAGGCGCCUGAGGACGGAGAUGGCGCGGUCCGCAGUCUGAGGGCAGGGGAGGGCGCGAGGGUGCAUGGUCGGUACCGGCAGGGCAGGUAGGGAACAGCGGGCGGGCGAGUGAACAGCGAUGCGAGAGCGGAGGCUGAAGGGGGCUAACGGAUUGUUGCGCGCCGGACUUGCACGGGCUGACGACCGGACAAGAAGUUGCAAGAGGGACAUGCCGCCCUGUACGCACCGAUCGAGUUGGCGGCGCCGUUCUUGCCGCACAGCAUGGCGCUGACGACCGGGCGGAUGCCGGCGUCCCAGCGCGCCGCGUACCAGGUGAAGACCGAGGGCAUGGUGGUCAUCACGGCGCCUAGAGGCGGGAACAUGUUCACUGCACCCUGCGUGGACGGGUGCGUGGAGGCACUAGGGUGACGCAGAACACAAUCAACAGGAGGAUUCGUGCCGUGCGUGCCGAAACCCAAUCCCCCAAUCCGCAGAAAAACCCUGCACCUGCCGCGCGCACCGGCCGUAUAAUUCUCCCCUGCCUACUGCGAGGUGCUAUACCAGCGGAGCAUGUGCACAGCAGGGGAUGGGGGUGGUUUCCUCAUGGGAAACCGGAGGCAAGUCACAGGCAGGCGUGUUUAGGCCACGUUCCCAGACCGCUUCGCUUGAACUCCGAACUUACUCGGAACACGGGGUCGGCCGACAUGUUCGACGCUAGCAAGUCCCCAAGGAACGAGUCUGGCGUUGCGCAAGCUGCGGCUGAACGACGUCGCUGAGCGGCCCCGCCGAUGUCCACAUGAGCGACGAGAGACUCAGCGGUCGGCUCAAAGACACACGGAAGCAUCUCAGCGCAAUUCACGCGCAAGCGCUUUGGGCAGCAUUUCACGUAAGCGCGGCCGACGACGGACAUGCCAAUCUGCUGCUGCUGUAGUGAGCCCGCCGCCGUCUCCACGCAGCCCCAGCAAUCACCACAACUCGCCGAGACAUAAACGUUGUCUUCGGGACAGGAGCGCGACCAGCUGCAGCUGCUGGAGAGCUCACACGCUGAGUCAUCCGUGACAUUUGCCUUUCCCAGCAUCUGCCAGCCGGCGCUGGGGCAGCUGUCCCACAUCCACUUGGCUGCUGACGCGGAGAAACACAUGCCGCUGGCAUCGCAGGUAUUGCCGGCGCACAAGAUGUGCGGCUUCCACACGGAGGAGGCUUGAACGGGCACGCUCACAACUGCCAGCAGGGCCACCAAGAGGAGCCCCCAAAGGACCGUCAUUUUAUGCAAUCGUCUUCAAGUCAAGUUGCUUACAGGCUCUGUACAGGAGCGCGCGGGUUUUGUGUAUGUACCGGGGUGCCUGCUGUCGGGGAUUGGAGUGGUACGGAAUUCAUUCGGGUCCAGCCUUGCUCCACCCUCAAGGCCCGUGGGAAAUGCGUAUGAAUGCUGGCACACACGUUUUAGUGCAUCCAUGUGAGCAAGGUGGGCCAGUGCGCGCGCGCUGAUACAUACAUACGCUCUUCCUUGGCAAUGGCUUAAUGCCAGGGCAGAUAUACUGUAUCUGUGCAACUGAGAUAGUAACGCACCAAAACAUUCAAAUAACUUGUGUGCAGCGAGAUCAUCACGAGCACCAGCGAGCACUACUCACGCAGGGCGCGAUGGCAGUUUGCGCUUGAGUCGAGCGCCACUAGACUGGCGGGCCCCCCUAAAUGUGCAUACGUUGAUGUGGAGUGGCUUGAGAUGACUGCGUGAUGCCAGCACUCUCGCUCGCUCGAGAAGGUCGGCCCAACAGGAACGGCCGUUUUGGGAUGUUCCUCAACAGGCGGAGGGGAGGAAGAGAGGGGAUGUAACUUUAGCACUCAUGGCCAGCCGCGCCACACAGCCUGCAUCACUUCCUGCUCUCCAUGACUUCUGGAGCCAUCAUACAAUCCAGUCGGAGCGGUGAAGAUGCCGCUUGAGCGUGCGAGAACAUGCCAUCGCCAACAUCGUUUCCAGUCCUCGUGACUCUGAUAAGCGAUCUCUUGAAUGCAUUGCAAGCAGCAGCUGGUCCAGGCCAAGCGACCUGCAUCGCCGCAAGGCUCGCAGAGGGCCCCAGCCACGGUUGUGUGAGGGUUGUGCCAGGGGAGAGCGGGGACGGGUGGCACGCACCUGACGUGGAGAGUGCCAGACAUGGUCCGCAGUAGAAUUGACACUAUGCGACUCCUAUACUAUUUCCGCUUUGAAAGCCUAUCGCAUGCAAGCCUGCUGAGCUUGGGUCUGCUGGUCGCCAGCCAACAGAAUGCCAGCUUGAAGCCUAUUCUGUAUUCACAUUACUGGAUGCAUAAGUAUGUAUUUUGCAAUCCCUGAAUUAUCUGGAGCUGCUCAAAUUAUGGAGUGCAGAGGGUGAGAGGAACGAAAGGUUGUGGCGCCGCCGCAGGAACUAAGCCGUCUGCAUUUCUGUGACAAAUGUUACUGUAUCGAUAUAAGCAGUUCAUGGCUGGAGCAUUCUGGGUCGGCCUAGCGACUUUGUGGCAGAACCGAUUAUAGGUCUCGGUGCGCCGUAACCUUGCCCAAGACGUUAUCAGAGCCAACGAGCAUUCACUGCACGCAGGCCGCUCGCCCGCAGCGUCUCUCGUAGCCGGGUGGUAAAAUGUGCUGGCGCCGCACGCCAGUCGGGAGGGCGCCGUGGCACUGCUUCUGACGGAGCCGGGGCCCGGCGCGGCCGGCCCGACGCGCCCUUUCCUGGCUCCACACCCUCCUCUUCCCCCUCCUCGUCCUCGCCGUCAUGGCCGGAGCAGCAGCAGCGCCAGCUCAGCCGCGGCGGGCCGGGGGCUGGGCCUGCGGGGCCACGCCGUGCCGACGGCGCCGGCGCGCCCAACCCCGGUGCUGGCCGCCCGUCCUACUACGGCGGUGGCGGAGGCCCCGGCGGUGCCGGCCCCGGCACCCCCGCCCCCAAGCCCAAGUCUGACAAGGAGCGGGAGGCCCGCCGGGCCGCCAGGGCUGCGGACAAGGCGGCUGAGGUGGCGCGGGCAGCGAACGGCAGCUGCUACGGCUGCGGUGCACCGUUGCAGACGGAGGUGCCGCUGGGGGCGGGGUACGUGGCGCCAGACAAGUACGAGGCAAAGAGGCAGCGGAGGCAACUGGACAAGGUGCGGCAUCGGGGAAGUGUUGGUAGUGGAGGCGGCGUGGAGGGUGGGGGUUUGGGGCAUUUGGGGCACCUUCGGCUCAUGACUCCGCCAUUCAUUGCUCGCCCUCCCGCCAUUACCCGGGCCACCUCCCCCCACCUUCUAACUACUCAUACCGCAACUUCCUCUCUACCCACCUCGAUCAGGUCCUGUGCCAGCGCUGCGGCGAGCUAUGCAACGGCGCCAUGAUCCCCGGCGUGCAGGACUUCACCCAGAAGCUGCAGCUACGAGCGGCGGGGCUGGAGGCAGCUGCAGCCGCCGCCGAGGGCGCAGCAGCCAGCGCAGGUGCAGGAGGGGCAGCAGGAGGGGCAGCGCGGGCGGGCGGGGCUGCGGCGACCGCUGCCGCGGCUGCCACCGCGGCGGCGGCGCUGGCGGCCGCUGGCGGCGCGGCUGCGGCGGCUGUGAAGGCGGCGCCUGUGGUGGCUGCGUCGGGUGGGGCGGCGCCGGCGGAGGCUCUGAGCCUGUUGGGAAAGGUGGGCGGGGGGCCGCUGAGCGGCAGUGGGGGCUGGUGGUGGCAGCAGCGAGGAUGCGGACCAACAGACGGGGGGGGUUCAGCGGCGGCUGUUUGCUGGUGGGGGUUGCCGGCGGCGGUUUCAUGUUCCGUAGUGCGGUAGAGUGUGGGCUGUGUCGUGCUGUCGUGCAGGAGAUCGCAUGCAAGUAGUGGUUUGGGUGCGGACCAGCCAACAGGGCUGGGUGUUCUUCGGGCCAUCGAGGCCCUCGCCGGCCCCCACUUAGUUCCCCCGCUGACUUCGCCCCCAUCACCGCCGCCACCACAUGCCUUGUUGCGCCCGGUACAGGUUCUGGUGACUCCGGAGCAGCUGCGCAACCAGUUGACACCGGUACGUGCAGGCCCUCCUGGGCCUUCCAUGCCGCCUCCAUGCCACUGCCCUCGCGCGCUAUCUCCCUCACCCUCCAUCGCCCCUUUCCUUCUCCUCCAACCUAAAAGCUCCCUCGGUAACCUCGGUCCCUCCGUUUACCCUGCCCUGCCCUGCCCUGAUGACUGAUCUGUCCUGCCUCGUUGAUUCCCCUCCGCAGCUGGCUCUUCGCGCCGCGGUGGUGGUUCUGCUUGUGGACCUGACGGACGCGGGCGGCACCCUCAUGGGGCGGGUGCGCGACAUGGUGGGGCGCAACCCCAUUGUCAUGGUGGGGACCAAGAUGGACCUGCUGCCGGAGGUGAGGAGGGCGGGGGAGGGGAGGAGGGCGGGGGCGGGGAGGGGGCGGGUUAUGGUCACGAUUGCCAGUACGGGACCAGAGAUACGAAGACGAGAGGGAAGGCAGGGGAGGGGAGGGGAAGAGAGGAUGGGGAGUGACACCGACGUGGCGGCUGACUCAAUGCAUCCUCCUCCAUCCAUCCUAUACAACCCACCCACCCAACAACCCAAUCGUGCCCCUAAUUAGAGCUUCCCCCAAAACCCAAACGUCCUCAACAGGGCGUGAAGGCUCGUGAGGUGGCGGACUGGCUGGCCGGCGCCGCCGCCUCCAAGCGCCUCAAUGUCGUGUCCACACACCUCGUGUCUAGCCACACCGGAGAGGGUGAGGCAGCGGGGCAGAUGGAGGUGGGGGAGGCCGGGUGUGGCCGGGGGCACGCAAGGCUAUAGGGGCCUGGGAGGGGAGGCGGCGCCAGCUGACGCUCGGGCGCUACGGAUGUACUGGUAGUCUGGUGGUACGGAGCUGACACGACACGCCCAGCUGUCUUGCUUGUGCCCACGCAUCAGUUGCACACGUGGGGUGGGGACCCAACACCCAAAUACCGUACACACGUUGCAUGCGCUCUCCUGUCCUGCUAUCCAGGCAUGUCGGCGGCUGUGUCGCGCAUUUGCCGCGAGCGGCGUAGCCGAGACGUGUACGUGGUGGGGGCGGCCAAUGUGGGCAAGAGCGCAUUCGUGCGGGCCAUGCUAAAAGAGAUGGCGCGCAGCGGAGAGCCCGUGGCCAUCGGCGCCGGCAAGUGAGUGGUUGCUGACAACGGCCGUGGGCGGGGGCUGGGUGGGUGGGGGCGGGGGGACCAGGUGGUCUGGUUCGUUGCGUCUCAUUUGUCCUGCUGGCACCCGGCAAUGGUUGUGGUAGUAGUGGUAAUGGUCAGCACAAAACCAUUGGUGCACCGCCCGCUGGUGCACCGCCCGCUGGUGCAACGUCCGCUGGUGCACUGUUGUGGCGUGACAACGCCACCGUCCUUCGGACUACGGCAGUCGUGCCUGGAACCCCCAGGAAUCACUGAAAUCAAAACAAAGCAACUCCCCCUCGCCUCGACUAUACCUUUUCUUAAUUACUCCUGAAUGUAACCCCACGAUUUUACCCCCCUCGCCUCGCCAGGUACCUCCCCGUGGAAAGCGCCAUGCCCGGCACCACGCUGGGGCUCAUCCCGCUGCAGGCCUUCAGCAGCGGAGGGAUCCUGUUCGGUGAGAGCGUGUGCGUUUGUCCUAGGGGAGGGGGGGGGGCAGCCGUUCAUGGAGGGGGGGUGCGUUUGUGGGUUGGCGUGUGUGGAUGGGCUGGUAUGAACCCGUAGUGGCGCUGAAAGGGUGCUUGGUGGUGCUCGGUGAUGAUGCUCUGAGGUGAUUGGUGAUGCGGGCCUAAACCCAAUCGGGCCGGCCUCUGGCCUGACUCUCUGCUCCUCCUCCCCCUCUCCAUGCAACCCACAUGCACACGCAGACACGCCCGGCGUGCAUUUGCACCACCGCAUCCCGCACAUGCUCUCCCCCGCCGAGCUCAAGCUGCUGCACCCGCGACGCCGCCUGGCGCUCACGCUGCCGCCGCUGCCCGUCGAGCUGGCAGAAGAGGAAGCCCUGCAAGCCGCAGGCCUACGCGGCGGCGGCGCCGCCGCUCACGGGGAAGACGGCCAGGAGGAUGGGGCUGGGGGCAAGGCGGCAGGCGCGGGCGCGGCGUGGGGCGCGGCGGGCCUGGCCGGGGAGGAGGGAGAUGAGGGCGUGCGCAAGGGACGCGGCGGGCUGAAGAUCGUGGAUUAUAACCCAACCGACGAGUACGGCAUGCCCAUCACGGGGCUGGACGCGGGCGUACGGCAGAAACGUGGCGGCGGCGGCAGCGCCAAGGGCGUGGCGGCUGCGGGGGCAUCAGGCGGCCGGUCGGGCGCUGCUGCGGGCCAGGGCCAGGGCCAGACGUUGCAGGUGCUGGACCGCGGCCAGGUGAGGUGCCGGGGCGGAAGGGGGCUGAGGGGAUGAGGGGGCGGAAGGGGGGGCUGAGGGGAUGAGGGGGCGGAAGGGGGCUGAGGGGAUGAGGGGGCAUUGGGGCGGAAAGGGCUGUGCGGCGGAAGGGGCUGUGGGUUUGGCUGGGGGAGGGAUGUUGGGGUGUGGGGCUGAAGGGGCUGUGGGUUUGGCAGGGGGAGGUGAGCAGCCGGUAGACGCAGCGCGAUACGUGCCUGACGGCAGGUAUGGUAGUUGAGGGUGUGGGUCUGAGCCUCUGAGGAGUCCCUGCCGUACACUGAACUGCCGUACACUCACUGCCUUGCCGUACAGACCCGCGGCACGUACGUCUGGAGCGACCUGGUGCGGGUGGACGUGCUGGGCGGGCCGCCCAGUACGGCACUGGUGUUCUACGGCCCGCCCGCCAUGCGGGUGGUGGGGCUGCCGUACGUGCGGGUGAGUGAGGGGGCGAGGGGCGGAGGGGCUGAGCAGGCGGGGCGGCUGCGGGAGCGGCACGGUCGAGGCGGCGCAGUAGGCACCUUGGUUCUAUGUGAGGAUAGCCGCGUGGCCGGCAGUCGCGCUGGCAACCAAUCCCCACCUUGGGCACCUUGUGCACAUUUGCGCCCCGCAGCCGGACCAGAAGAUCGAGGUCGACUACGGCACCGGAGAGGCUGUAGCCCGCGACUCCAGCAGUAGCAGCAGUAGCAGUAGCAGUAGCAACAGCAAGGUGCUGGUGUGCACGGACUCGGUGGCGGCGCGCGGCGGGCUACAGCCGACGGACCUGCUGGUAAAGGCGGCCAGCGCGGCGGCGGGCGGCGGCAGUAGCACGGCCCUGGCGGACAUUGCCGUGUCGGGCCUGCCGGGCUGGGUGGCGGUGUGGGCUCCCAAGGCCAACCGGGACGUCAGGUGCGGUGCGCGAGAGGAGAGAGGCGGCGGGGGCGGGGGCGGGGUGGGGUGAUGGGAAGAGGAUUGCUUAAGUUAGGUGAAGUGAUGGGAGAGGGGAGGGCCGCCGGAGCGGGUUGCGGAAGCUCGGAGGGUGCAGCGUGACGCACUUAUCCAAGCCGGACCCGGCACGCUGUGUUUUCAGCCCUCUGCCCCAUGCCCCCCUGUCGUGGCUCGCUCUGCUCCCCUGUGUGCUGUACGGUACGCAGGCUGCGCGUGUGGGCGCCGCGCGGCGUGGAGGUGAUGCUGCGGCCGCCCCUGCCCUGCCCGCUGCCGCCGCCGCUGGUGCGCGCCUGGCGCGGCGAGUCGCGUGACGCGGAGGACGAGGAGGGCGAGGGCGAGGUGGACGAGGAGGCGGCGGCGCUGGGCGAGUGGAGCAAGGCGCUGGUGAAGGGUGAGCUUUGGGUUUGGUGUGCUGGUGUGUGCGCGUGCACGUGUCGCGGUGCGCGCGAGUAAAUAUCUCGCUACCGUGCCAACCGCAUCCCCAUACCUCCGGUGUAUCUGGGAGAUGUAGUCGAUUGCGCAAUAGUUGUUUCUGAGCCCGACUGGUGUCUCCUUCACGUGGCCUCCCCACCACCACCCCGCCACACGUCGCCACGCAGGCGGGCUGAAGGACCCCACCUCGGACCCCGCAUGGUGGGAGGCCAUGGCCGCACUCAAGGUGGGCGGGCGCUUUAUUGCGACUGUGACGAUGGUGAUGGUGGUGACGAUGGCGGAUUGAGGGACUCGCUGGCUGCCUGCCUAGCAUAACUGGCUUCUCGGCGGCCUGGCCGCGCCACUGCUACCUUAUUACGCGCAAAGCUCUCGCUAACAAAGCAGUACCAACAGCUUGCAAGCAUCACCUACGUGGCCUUGUCUGAACCUGGCCUCCACUGGCCGCCUUGCCCCCCGAUCACACACACGCGUGCGCCCUCUACACCAACCAGGACGAGGACCUGCCAGGCUACGCCGCGGCCAACCGCCGCAAGCCCGCCCGAGGCAAGGCCGCGGACAGUGCCGCGGACGUAGAGGCGGGUGCCGUGGACGACGACCAGGAGGGCGAGGGCGAGGAGGAGGAGGAGGAGGAGGGCGGCCUGCCGGACUGGGGCGAUGAGGCGGAGCUGGUGGGCGAGGACGAGGAGGAGGAGGACUGGGCGGCGGGCGGCGGCGAGCGGGUGGUGGUGUCGGCGACGGUGGAGGACAUCCUGAAGCGGCCCAGGUGGGUGGACCGAGGGCAUGUGUGUGUAGGGGGGGGGCAUCCGGGGGAAGCGUCUGGUGGUUGGGGAGGAGAUGGGGAGGGGUUGGGGAGGGGAAGGAGCGGUGGGAGGUUGGCAGGGAUUGAGGGGUGCAGGGGCAGAGGCUUUGGACUGGCUUGCUGGGAGACCAGGGGCGCUGGGAACACGGGGGCGGGGCGAGGGUGCAUUUGCAAAGGCGGUGAUUGCGAGGCUAGUGCGGACGCGUCACAAAGCCAGGGGCAACAGUGGGAUUCAGGGCAGGCCAGGCCAGUGGGCGAUGGCCUAGAAGGGUGGCUUGCAACCAGCAGGCAACCGGCGCCGGCCAUACCCCUUGCGGCCAGCCCCCUGCAACCCGACAACCUCUCUCCCGCCGACACCGCUUUUCCAACCAUCUUUGCAAUCCCCCAAGCACCCCACCGACGCCGACCUCUCGUUCCCGAUCCCCCAGGAUCGACGUGCUGAGUCAGAUGGACCUUGACUACAUCGACGAGGAGGAGGACGAGGAGGAGGGGGACGAGGAGGGCGGCGACGUGGCGAAUGACGUCAGCAGCUUCACACUGCGCAAGCCAGCUGGCGAGCCAGGCCGCGGGGCCAAGGGCGGUGCGGCUGCGGGCCGGGCCGGCAGCCGGGGCCGGGGCGCGGCCCAGUGGCUGGAGCAGGCGGAGGGAGGGGGCGAGGUGGGCCCUGCGGCCGAUGGAGCGUGGGACCCCUUCUCCACGCCGGUUGAGGCCGUGACCUCAGGAACCUCGGCGCCGGCGUCCGCGGCGGCCGCUGUGCGGAGGCGGCGAGGCAGUGCGGUGCCGGCUGUGGUGCCGGCUGCGGUGCCGGCUGCGGUGGAGCAGGAGGAGGAUGACGAGGAGGAGGGGGAGGAGGAGGAGGCGGCGCCGGCACGGGGGCGAGGCGGGCGGGUGGCAGUGAGGCCGUACAGCGCGGCGCGGCGGCGGCUGGGGCGGCGGCGGGAGGUGGUGAAGCAGGUGGUUGAGGAAGGGGACGGGGAGUGAUCUGCUGGCAAGGGCUGAUGGGUGUAUGGAGAUGUGAUCAUUUGAGGCGGGGGGCACCCAAGCCACAAUCUUCAACUGCAGGGAUGGAGCGUGCACCAGUAAACUGCUAACGCAGCUGACUGGUGCUAUCAGUUCCAGGGGUCUGCUGCAUUGGUUAAGCCCCAGGGGCCAAAGGCCACAUGCUGCAACGCCAAAGACAUUGGGGCCGUGGUUAUUGGGCAUUCACACUUACUUGGAAGCUGAUGCCCCUCACAUGUUCCAAUGUUUUCGGCAGCCAAGUCGCGUGCAUGUCGUGCUGCAUGCUGUGGUGUUGUGUUUAAGAUUGUGCCCUCCGUCAAGCUGCGCUGUGCUGCAAGUCUGCUGCCGACCUGCUGCCGAUGAGUCCUUGCGCGCAAUCAAAACGUUUAAAGUGGCUUGCGGCAUUGUUCCGGUCCGCCCAGGAAAUGGUGACAUCCACACAGACGUUGACGUCGGUGCCUGGCGUCAGUUCCUCCAUAUCCCUAUCAGCAUAUGGAUGGGCACAAAUGAGACACCCUGAAGUGGGGGUAGUCCUGGAUGGGUAGUCCAACUCCUUAUGGAUUGCGGACUCGCCCAACAUGUCAGCAUGCCAACACACGCGCCAGUUGUGCGCGCCGCGCCCAGCCAGGCACCUCCUAGCAUGCGGCUAUGGCAAUGAGCAUAGACCAAUCGGGCUGGGCAUUUGUGUGGCGUCCGAGCAGGCGCUGCUGGGCCCGACCAUGCCUGCUGACCAUGCGCGCCUACCUACCUGGGGUGGCUGCAGCCCGCGCCCCCGCAUGGCGGUGGCACAUGCCGCACAUCAAGUUUCGGGAGCGCGAGAUCCGGUCUUGCAUGCACCGCCUGGUAGAUUCUGGCAUAGCGGUCCGGGCAGGCGCGGCGCUCAGGCCCGCACAGGAGGCGCUGACAGGCGCACAGUUGCGACGUGCCUCGUGGCGCUUCGCCUCCUGCCUGCCGCAAACAUAGCGGUUGGUUCGGCGGCGGACUUCCAAGGCUAACGCCCAUUUAACUGAAACGCAUAAUGGUCAGGCUUGUUAAGCAUAUUAUUGGUCAAGCUUUGUGCUACCAACGCGUGCCCAGACGCGUUAGCGUGCCCCGGCCCCCGCAGGGGGCGCGGCGCACCUAUACGUUUCAGAAAGCGGCAGUUGACGAAAACUUGGGCAACACGUGCUCCCCGCUCCCGCCGAGUGCACACAGCCAUUAUACAUGCCACCCAUUACACGAAAGUACUGUACACAAGGUAGAAGAGGCCCCAGCGACAAAGUUCCGAUACCCGACUCGAGUCAGGGAACCUCGAUCGCGAAAGUAACUGAGGCUAAACCAUAUUUCGCGCACUCUAACGCAUAGAAUGGUAUCCGAUGCCUCAAGAAAGACGAUUCUUUGGCCGAUUUCAUCGCACCGGCUUGCGCUGGUCCAAGGUAACUAUCAGAUACGUAGAUUGCUUCAAUCUCAGCACUUAUGUACCUGUCAGGAGGCCCGUAGGCGUGUAAGCUGCGAGCGCGAGCGCCCGUCCUUAUUAGUGCCGUGCUGGCUGCCCCUCAACGUGAGACCUAUGAAGUUGAGACUCUGUUAUUAUUAUAUUUGCAAAACGUGUAAGGCUGAACGGUUUCGCCGCAAGGGCGAACUUGAACUUACUUCGCGACGUCCAACCGUCCGACGUCCAAUGCACAGCCCGUUCCUCCGAGCUGCUGGGGGAAGUCCGCGCGCGCCCUCGCAAUUUCACAGGGCGUUGGCCCAGCUAUUGAUAUUACAUAAAUACGUAAGUAUUUAGAAGCUGCGCGGGCGAAAACGAGUGAUUUGGCGUCCCUUGGAUCCCAUUUCCCCAGACUCCAAUUCCCCCAUUGGCUGCGACCCCGACCCCGACCCCGACCCCGACCCCGACCCCGACCCCGACCCCGACCCCGACCCCGACCCCGACCCCGACCCCGACCCCGACCCCGACCCCGACCCCGACCCCGACCCCGACCCCGACCCCGACCCCGACCCCGACCCCGACCCCGACCCCGACCCCGACCCCGACCCCGACCCCGACCCCGACCCCGACCCCGACCCCGACCCCGACCCCGACCCCGACCCCGACCCCGACCCCGACCCCGACCCCGACCCCGAUCCCGACCCCGACCGAGGUCCCCGACCCCAACCCCGACCCCGACCCCAACCCCGACCCCGACCCCAACCCCGACCCGGUCACCGGUCCGGGAGGUUGUGCGCACGCCAGUAUCCGCAGUACCUUUGGUCCAACGUUUGUUACGACUCUGGCACUCAGAUCAUCAGGGGAGGCCCCUGCAGAUCAUACUCAGACUUCAGUCGCCACUUCUACACCAGCCUCCUCUCGUGCUCGGCAUUUUAACACUGUACAUUGCGUCCCCUGUCACUUGACUCCCUUAGGGGCACGCUCCAUGGAUCGCAUGGCGGUCCGCUAGUGUGAAUGGGGAACUCGGCCAGACCUGCCUGCUACCGCUGGAGCCGAGCGAGCCAGCGGCAGGUACGAACGAACUUCAAUUCGCACCAGACCAUCGCAUCGUCUGGCUUUAUUUGCUAUAAAAGGGGACGAUCGUCACAAUCAUGCUUAGCCCAAAUUCCAAAGUUGCCUACCUGCCUCGAUCGCCCACGUUGGCACAUACACACGCAGUGUUCCCGGGGUUUAGGUUACACACCAUGUCCACGCCUCACGCCAGCGUUUCGGUGGAAGGCAUAGGGCUGCUUGAGAAAGACGCGAUUGUUUUGGAGCUGAAGCAGGCCAAUGCGGAUGUGCUUGCCGAGCUGAAGAAAGCCAACGAGGAGCUGAAGAAAGCAAACAAGAAGGAACCCAAGCCCGUGCCGACCGGGAUCAAACCACGAGGUAUGAUAAAUAUCAUGAGAGCGCGAGCGACCGGCAGGCAGGGGCGAUGCCGGUUUCCAUGUUCAUGUGGCGCGUCUGCGAGCGCGCUCGUGAGUGCACAUGCGAGGCAUAGUUUGCGAGCUUGACUUGUCCCUGUCACAUCAUUGUUGCAACUCCAGGCCUGCUCAUGGUGGUGCUGAUUGGCUUGGUCAUGACUCCCAUCUUGAUUGGCAUCGCACUGCCGGUGUUCUACACCGCAAAAACUGCGCGCGCCAAGGAGACCUCCGCCAAUGUGUUCAUGUGUAGCCUGUACGCCGACGAUAGGCAGGUGAGGUGAUGUGUAGCAGGCUUGCGCAGGCAGCGGGGAUUAAGGAAGGCAUGGUGCGCCUUGGCGGCGGCGUUGCGCCUGCCUCACGCACGUUGCUGCGUUGUUAGUUGCACCUGCGUACCGUACCGAGCCUGGCACGCCGGCCGUGACAAUCCACUCUACCUACAGGCCGAGCUGGUUGCAAAGUACAACACGUUCGCUCGCCUCGACGACGCCGUCUACAGCCAGUCGGCCCUGUUGACGCCGCCGCCGCCGCCCCAGCCCAGUCCCCCGCCGCCCCCGUCCCCGCGGCCGCCGCCCCAGCCCCAGACCCGGCGGCCGCCGAUGCCGCCGCGGCCCCCGGGCGACCCGCCCUCGCCCCCCUCCCCGCCCCCGCCGGUGCCCUUCGCAAUCCAGUACCUUGACGCCUACAACUCCCUGACUCAGGCCGAGGCUCGAUUCUACUCCGACCUGGAGAAGUCCUGCUCAAUCGUGAGUUGGCUGCUGGCACUCUUGGGAUUAUUGGAGGGAGGGCGGGUGCGCGCGCGGGGAAUUUGAGAUGUGGUGGACCCUUGGUGCUUGGUAGCUAGGGCUGCGCCAGGCCACACGCGUCAGCACACGCCACACGCUUCAGCACGUCUGGCACACCAUCAAGACCUGCAUGCACCGUGUAUGUUCACUUUCCACAUGAUGAAAACUGCAUGCAUGCGUGCCAAAGUAAGAAAGACGGUUUGCGUGCACCCGAUCGAGCACGCCCGCCCGCCCCUUGUGUAUGUGCCUCCGCUUGCUGUGGCCUCGCGCGCAGGUUGGCCAGAGCCUGUGGGGCCAGAUGGACGACGACACGUUCUCACAGACUCCCGCCGGCAACACGUGGCUACAGGCUGUGGUGAACAUUGCGCCCGUGUUCACGGCCGCACGCCCGCCGCCACCCCCCUCCCCCGCCUCCGCCUCCAACGCCUCCUCGCCGCAGGCAGCGGGCAGCGACGCACCGCCUGACUACGGGUCUGAGUACGAGGGCACUUUCAACGGAACUGGAUUCGACUACCCACCUGAGGCGCCCACUGAGCCGCCCCAGGCACCGCAAGCCCCAGCCCCGCCCCGACCCCGGCGGCCAGCCGCAACUCCCACUGGUUCCCCAUCAUCCACGUCCUCUACAGGCAACCUUACCAUGUUCGAAAAGCGCGUGGCGCAAUUUCCACAGGCCGUGGCCGCGUGGUCCACAAUCAACGCCACCAUCACUUCUGUGGUGCGUGGGUCCAUGCGGGUCCGUGUGGAUGGGUCGUCCGUGCGUGUUCGUGUGCCGUUCCGAGCUAGCGUACGCGGUGUCUGCUUUCCAAGCCCACUACUGUAUGUGCGUGUGCCCGGGAGGACGUGGUGCUGCUGUCGCGAUGGUUGGAUUGUGGGAGUCCACGUCUGGCUGGGAGGUUGGCUGACGCUUCGUGAUGCCAGCUGCUUGACUACCGUAAUGUCUGCGCAUGCACUAUUCAGGAUGUAGAGGUGGGGGGUUGUAAAUAUAUAUAUACAUAUCAGCCCAAAGCAAAAACUAAACCAAAUAGGUGGCGGGGGCGAUGCCCGUGCGGUCGUGGGCCUGCUGGCACUAGAUAGAAGCGCCUGCUGCCUGCGUGCUCCUGCCCUCCCCUCCAUUACAUGUAUGCUUCUAUCUCCCUCGGCAGGAUGUGGCUACCAACGCAAUGACCAUCAGUUUUGAGAUGCAUCUGGAUAGCUUGGUCCUGCAGACCGCAAAGAACACCCGCAUCGCCAAGCGUAGCGCCAAGUCCGUGGCAAACGUCAAGUUCCCAGCCCUGCUGGACCGCACCGGCCGCAUUAAGGGCAAGGACACCCUCGCACAGACCGAUGUGAGUGACGCCGCCACAGCAGCCACAUGCACAAAUGCUCCACGUACGUGCUUCCAUGUACAUACGCAAAUGCAAGACAGGAUAAUAAACCGUAUCGUCAGGACGCAUGCAUGGUGGGGGCGUGCCUUGUGGUGCAUGUAAUAUCCCUUCAUGCAACCCUUGAGCGACUAUGUUCGACAUUGCUGAUACAUUACAGGUUGUGAGCGCUGCUGGAGCCGAUGGCACUCUGUCGCUGAAGACGGGGGUAAGUUUAUGGGGUAGAGCUGCUGGGGUGCGUGCGUGUGUGCAACAGCACGUGCUGCGCAGCUCCACCCUUACUUUGUACCGUAUGCACACGCACGGCCUCCACCUGCUGGCUGGCAGCUGUCCAUAUGCCACCUCACAUCCUGAUUUGCUCAAGGCACGCCGCGCGCUUAUCUGUUUGCACUUCCUAGCUAGAUACGUGCCAACUAAACCAUCCAUGAAACGCAUACUCAUGCAUGUUGCUUGAUUAACCACAACGCAGGAUCGAGUGACCUCCAAGAAAAUGGAGCUGCCCCUCGUCCCCACCACCAGCCUCUACCUGUACCCAUUCGAUGAGUACACAGCCACUGUCACGUGAGAAGGGGUAGCAGGAGGGGUCGAGGUAGAAUGGAAACUACGAGAGUUGUACCGGGGGUCUGGACUGCGAUGCGGAGCUGGCUGUGGACGAAUGAAGUCAGUAGGUUCAGGGUAUGCGUUGUGCCGCUCAAUCGCUGUCGGGCUCAUAACUUGUUUGUGCCUUCCACAACAUGCGCCCACAGGCUGGUUUCGAGCAUGACCGUGUCCAAUGUAAACUGCCCGACUGCACUGUUCGUGAAGCAGAAGAACGCCGUCGUGGGCUGGGUAUUCACUGUGAGUGCUCCGGGGAAUGAAGCUCGAUGUGGGUCGUUUCGCUUUGUGUGCAGUGUGCUUAGCGUUCGUGCCUGUACGUAUGCUACAAUCAUCGCGCGCAUAUCACGGCAGCCUGCCUGCCUUGAAGCCGCCCGGAUAGAGCUGUCUCCAACAUCUUACCUGAGGCAAUGCAGCGAUUGGUGUUUCAUGUAGCACUACACCUCUGCAUGCCCACCACGCACCCUCCUCUCCCGCCGUGGCACCUCGUCCCCUCAGGCCAAGCUGGUCCCCAGUGUCACGGACAACCGAAACGUCCUCAACUUCCAGAAUCCGACGGACCCGGACAGCGCCAUCACCCUGACCUACGAGAUCUACCUCAAGCGCACCACGUUUGUGCAGGUGCGUGUGAUGAGUGGGAGGCACCAACAGCAGAGAGAGGCCUAGUAGGUAGAUAGGUGGGUGUCGCCUCCCGGGCGGGGACAGCAGGGCAGCGGGCAAUGUGAGCUGCUGGGCAGCUCGUACACGCGACAAGGUAGGUACGGUGCCGUGCAGGCCCAUGCGCUCACUCACCUCGUAGGUCAUCAAUCUUACGGAGCGCUGGAAGCAUUUGGCGGCCCAUCACUGCUGUCUCGGGCCCUCUCUGCCUUCUCAUACAUACGCAUGCCCUCCUGCCCCCCUGUCCUGCCGCCGCCAGUUCUUCGCGGUGUUCGUGCUGAUGGGACUGUGGCUCGUGUCCGCCUGCUCCUUUUGCUACGGUGCGUGGAUGGCGAACCGAUGGGGACUGAUGAUGGCGCCGGGGUCAGCGUUCGGACGGGGUCAGAGGCCAUGUAUAUAUGCUAGUCGUGCGUGAUUACGGCGCGUCGAGUGGGCCUAAAACGCGGACUCACCUCUGCCCACCGCACAUAACGUACUCCCCCUGCCCACCGCACGCAGCCAUGGAUCUGCUCUACAUCCGCCCGCGUAACGUGACCAACGGUGACGCCACGCUCUUCACCGCCCAACUGUUCGCUGUGUGAGUCUGGCCGGGCGGCACCACGACUUCUGCUACUGCUGCCGGUACUGCAUUCAUUCGCGCAGGGCAUCACUUAUGCGCCAAUGAAUGCCAAGAUGCACAUGUUUACCGCGCAAUGGCGUGAGCUCUUCUUGAGACGCCCAUGCAUCUUUCCACGCACCAGCGCAGCCUACUAACAUGCCGCACGUCUCAUGCACCUCCCUCACAUGUAGGGUGGGCACGCGCAACAUUAUGCCUGGUGUGCCGGCCGUGGGCGUGGGAGUGGACUUCUUUGGAAUCAUCUGGAUCAUGAUCAUCUGCCUUCUCACAGGUGUGUGCGGGGGAAGGGGGAUGGAGGGCCGCGUAUCCCUGGAACACAAACAAAGCCUGUGUGGGCCACACGUAUGUCAACAGACUAGCUCCUGGCCUCUUGCGUGCCGCUGUCCCGGCAGUUGUACAAUCCCGGUAGUGAAUUCGUAAUGCGGUUUGGGUGUGCGACUGUACCCGCCGCGUGCCUGUCCCGACUCUCCACCCUCGCUGGCUCGUUUUGCACCCGCUUCCCCAUGACAACAAAUAAAGGCAGUACCUUUCUCAAUGUCGUUCUCCCUCACCCACUCCGCCCUCCUAACACUACAGGUGGACUGGUGUACGCACGCAUCGUGUCCCAGUACGUGCACAAGGAGCCCACCCUGUAUGACCGACUGGCCAAGAACGAUGUGUGGCUGGAUGACUGGCUCAAGCAGCAGGAGGAUGCCGAGAAGAUGGCCAAGGAAAAGAAGGAGAAGGAGGAGGAGCGAAAGAAGAAGAUUGAAAAGUACGGAGAGCCUGGGAAGGCGAAGAUCGCCCCUGCCACAGCGGCUGCAGCUGAGGGCAAGGCGACUGUGUAGGCAAUUGAAGCUAACAGCGUCGUGCGUGUCCGUUCAUGUAGAUAGGCUUACCAGCUUGCACCCUUGCAAACAUUACUUGAGAGCAAUGCGAAGAGGCAGCAUUAAGGUGGGUCUUGGUUGGUACACUCCUGCGUACGUGCAUUGCAUUGUGUUGGGCAUUGGUCGCUACUGCCCAUACAUGCAUGUGGGUCAGCGCCUACCCGUCGGCUCCUAGUGGUUGGCAUGAUGACGGGUGCGUGGAGCCAGCCAUGAAUAAGAAUACCGUACAUCAUGCAUGCAUGCAUGUGCUUGGACACACGGACAAACGCUGAUAGGGGUGUACAAUAUGUACUGUCGGCUCGUACAGAGUGGCUUGCGUGUAGGUGGCUUGAGUGUAGUCAGGUGCAGUGUGCGUGGCCGAGUGUAGUCAGGUGUAGUGUAGUUGGCCGAACUACAUCUGCGUGCAUUCUCGGCAGUGAAUUUCGCCAAUGCGAAUACCCGCAAAGACUGACUAUGUGUAACGCUGCGUUUGCAGCGCUCCCUGGCCCAACACAAGCUAUAUAGUGUCCGCUAGGUUUUGACUGAGGGAAGGCACCGCAUAACAAACGUUCAUGCGAAAGCCAGCUUAAGAUCGGGUCAAAGGAUUUACAGCGCGCGGGUACCAUUGCUCGGAACAUUCUGUGUGGCCAGAACCAAUCUCCACAAUACCGUAUACUGCAUGACAUACUCCAGCAGCCUUGCAUAGGGCCCGUCCGUAAUGAAGCUUCCACUUCCAGCCAAUCUAUCUAUCACCCGCGCCAGCUGCACAGUAGAUGGUGGCGGGGCGGCACAAGCACCGCUGCCCGCCUACCCGGCUGACCGGCUGGCAGCACGCGCGGUGGCCCCCCCCAACAAUAAGCUCAUCCGCAGCAGUGCAAAUGCCUCUAUCUGCAACACGAGUCGCGGUGGCAUUGGCAAUGUGGAUGGCAGGGCGCCGGCAGCUGCCGACGGGUUCCCCAGCCUAACCCCCAUCAAUCCAUCAUGCACGCGUCUUGGUCUGAUAGAGCCUGCUGUCUCCUCCAUUACUUCCUCCCGCACAAGCAAGUGCCUCACAGGCGGGGCAUACAUCCGCCCAUAAUUGAAUCAAGAAGCCUUUCCUUCUACCUGUCAUACCUUCGGGUCACACACAUCCAUCGCCCAGUUCGCACCCAUGCCAGCAAACUUCCAGCCAGCCAGCAACUCGUCGGUACAGCAACUCCGGCGUUCGACCAGCCGCGCACUCCUGCCCUGCCGCUGCCAAUUGUGUGACAUUUGUUGGGUUCUGGGAAUCAGCUGCACCCUACGGGACUUUACCAACUUGCCUUACCACUGUCCCAUCGCACAUACACAUCCAUCGCCCAGUUCGCACCCAUGCCGUGGUUGCCUGACCGGACAGACAGACAGAAAGACAGACAGACCGCGGACAUACAGUGCCACAUGAACCAAACAUGCCACGACUGCAGAAGGUCGCUUUGGGGCUUGCAACUUAGGCCUUUGCGGCCUUUCCGUGUAUCUUGUUCGCUAUUACCGUACCGUAUAAUAUCUGCACUUGGGUUUCGUCCCGCAUUAUGCAUUGCGCAUUGCUCCCAGACCAUUUUGGCCCAACCACAUAGGUAACACAUGGGCAACUACAUACGCAGGUUGCUUAUGUAGAUGCACAUACCGCCUUCCGCAAGUCCUUUGAUGGACCAAUGAACCGCGUCGUACCUGACCCAGGGGCCAGCCAACCUAGUGACCGCCCUUUGCGCGUCAACGCGCCAGGGACCAGGUUCUCAACCUACCCGUGGAAACAACAUCACUCUCGCUCGCUCCCACAUGCACAAUAGCGCAAAGCCUCACAACCUCACCACCCUUAGACCUGGGAUCUCGCCGUCCCCACCACCGCCCCUCCAGCCAUCGCCGCCCCCAUUUUCCACAUCACCAGGCAGCAUCAGCGGCUGGAACGGCAGACCUGCCCCCAGGCCGCCGCCGCCGCCGCCGCCGCCGCUGCUCUCCAGCCGCCCAUAGCCGCCCUGCUCCGCCGAUGGUUGCGGCUGAUCGCCGCCGGGCGCGGGCAGCCGUCGAAUGACUAUCCCCCCAAGGUCGUCAUCAGUCAUCAGCCCACCUCCCAGCAACCCUCCGCCGCCUGCUCCUGCGCCGAGUCUCCCACCGCCUCCUGCCACCCCGGCUGCGGCUCCAGCGCCCGCGCCGCCAUCCAAGCCCCCGGCGGGCGGCCCUGGCAGCCCUGGCGGCUGGUGGUGGUUGUGGUGGCCACUGAGCGAGGGCCGUUGCGGCUGCUGUCGCUGUCGCUGCUGUUGUUGCUGCGCGCUGAGCUCCUCCUGGUGCUCCGUCAGCAGCAUGUCCACAAGCGAGUCCACAACCUGUAAAUCAUCAAGGCAAGGCCACGGAUCCAUCCAUGAAAGGGUCACCGCAAGCGAGCAGGCGGCAGAAUGAAGCACGUGCGUGACCGCAAAAAGAAGUACUGCAAUUGCUGCACGCAGCACUCGCUGCUGUGCAAUGAUGCUGGCACGGAGCACAGCGCCUCGGUCUACGGCUGCUGGGAGCCGAAACUGGGCGUUGCCUGGGACCACACUGAGGCGUUGCGCGCCGCCUCCGCGGUGCUGCCGGAGGCCACUGUUCGCGCCAGCGGCCGCAGCCACUGCCACCUGACGUUGGACGCGCUGAAGGGCGGCAAUGACGGCCGCUCGCUGGUGGCGGCAGCACCAACUACAUGCAUCAAGACGUGUUCUCGGGCGGCAGCAUGCUUGCACGGAUGAGGGGUUUUCGAGGGACGGGGUUUCAAGGGGCAAGGUUUGGUUCACCUCGAAACCCACAUGUCUUUUGGCGUGUCGCGGUGGGUAUUCUCGUAGUUGUUUUGCUAGUAUGUGUACGUUGAAGAAAGCGAGUAGGUUGAAGCGAGUAGGUUGAAGAACGGGACCGUCCAGGAUGGGACACCACACGCCAGAUUGAAAAGCCUUUGUUUCGCGGUCACGUGCUUCAACUAAUAACACCGAACCGCCGCUCGCGCGCACACACCUGCUCAAACGUGGGCCGCGCCGCGGGCUCCGGCGCAAUGCAGGCCACCAUCAGGUUCCGCAGGUGCGGCGGGCAGGAGGCCGGCACUGCCACACCAAACCGGCCGCCCGCAAUCGGCGCAAUCGUUUCCGCGCCGCCGCCGCCGGCCGCGGACGAGCCCUCCCCAGCGGCUGUGGAGCUGCCGCCCGGCUCUGUGCUUUCAGCUCCUGGCGCCGCCGCCAAGGCGCAAUUUGUUGUGAUAUCGGCGAUGUAAGAGCCGUAGAAGAACUCGAGCAGCAUGACACCGUAUGAAAAGACGUCGGCGGCCUUGGUCAGGCGGCCGCGUGUGAGCACCUCUGCGCGUGUGUGUGCAAGGGCGGGGAGCGAGGGCGGAGUGGAGGGCUUGAUGGCGGGCGGACAUACACCUGCGCCAAGCACGUGCUUUUCGCACCACCUACCAUCCUGCCAGCCAGAUCGACGCCCCACCACUUCGCCCGGAACCCACCCAGCGUGCAACCUGCACUGCCGUACACCUGCACGCCCCCGCACCCAUGCAUCCAUACAUCCAAAACAUGUCCAUACAUCCAUACAUCCAAGGCCCAGGCCCGCCCAGGCCGCACACAGCAGCCCGCACACGCACCCGGCGCGCUGUAGAGCGGCGUGCCCUGGAACUUGUUGGAGGCGUGCGUCUGGCCCUCGCCCAUGCGCACACUGCAUGCACACGUGCACGUGCACACACGUAGACAUGCAAGCGGUGAGGACCACAAGUGAGGAACGGGGCGCAGGCGACAGGCGCGCAGAUAUACAGACAACAAGGUAGGGCACGUACGCCGCACAGGCGGCGCAGCAGCCCUAGCUAUGCAGUGUGAGUGGCUGGCGGCUCAUGCAGCGGCGCUGCAAAGGGUACGGCAGGUGUUUACCCUCCUAGUGAAAGCAAGGCAGCGCACACAUCACCUGCUGGCACGCACAAGACGCAUAAAACAUACCAGGGCUACUCGCAGCCGCCACGCCUGCAGUCACGUUCCGCACCUGAGCCCAAAGUCCGCCACCUUGGCGAUCACGGGCGGCCGCCACAGCCCCCGCAGGCGGCUGACGGCGGCGGCCAGGCUGCGCGCCCCCGCGCUGCGACCCGCCGCCAUGGUGUCAGCCAGGUUGCCGAACACGUUGGGCUGGCCGCCGCCCCCUCCCCCGCCAGCCAGCGCGCCCAGCGCGCCCAGCGCGCCCGGCAAUGGCGCCACCUGUGGGUUGUUGCGUGUGAGCAGCGGGUUGUUGAACGCGAUAGGGAGGUUUGUGGCUUUGUGUUUGGAAGGCAGAGAGGGCCUGCCUUGGGUCGCGCGCUUGGAUGGAUCUUGCAACACAGCUAGCGACACUGGCCACAACCGUUAGGGCCCCCCAGUCAUGGCGAGCCCGUCAGAGGACCAUCCGCAAAACGGUGACGCGGAACGUGGAACAGCACUUUGAACGACGCAAUUUGACACCUUGCAACUACACACCGCUGGCGCCACGGCCCAUAAAGCUUCCACAGUUCCCGACCCCACCGCACACCUUGAUGGUGGUGAGGAGGAUGUUUGCGGACGACAGGUCUCCGUGCACGAUGUUCUUGGAGUGGAUGUGGAACAUGCCGCACGCCACGUCCAGGGCCAGGGUCAGCGCACACAGCGCCGCCGCGCCGCCCGCCGACACGCUGCCCACCACACCGUUUGCUGCGGUGGCGGCGGAGGCGAGGGCGGGGCGAGGGCGGAGGUGGGACACGCACACGGCACACACACACGUGCGGCUGCGGCAUGAGGUCCCAGCUGCAGGUACUUGUGCCCUGCCGGAUUGAUGCCGUUGAUUUGCCAGUGAGCCUGCAAGCCCCGAUUCCCCCACCCAUCCACUCACUCAGCGCGUCUCGCAACGUGCCCACGUCACAGUACUCCUGUAGGCGUGACAUUUCAGACGGAUUAAGUGUCCGGUGCGACAGCGCGGGAAUCAGCCGGCAGUGGAGCAGACGCACUCAGCGGUACAAGGCCAGAGCGGCUGCUAGGCGACUUGGCACCAUUGGGCCCCUCAGCCCGUCGGACCCCUUAAUCCACGUCCUAACUUACGACUUCCUUUACUAGUUACUCACUAUGAGGCCGUUUGAACAUGGUGGGGGCGCUGCACAAAGCAUCCUACACACACUCGAACACGAAUACCACAAACACGACGCGACCACAUCCACCCCCAGCCCAACUGCCUUCUCCAUCACAGCCAACCCAGCGCACCCCCAGCCAAUCCCCAGCCCACUCCAACCCAAUCAAGCCACACACCUGGAUGAUGUACAACUUGUACACGUCGCCCGCACUCUCCCACACGCUGCGCUCGCCGGCGGCGCCGCCGGCCCCCGCGCCGCCCGCCCCGCCGCUGGUGCUGCCUCCGGCGUCCGAGCCCUGGGCUAGCAUCAUCUGCAGCCAUGCCAGGACACAAACGCAAAUGCGUAAGUUGCAGAAACAUGGGAAAGCACACACGACAGAUUGCGAGCGGCCAUGUAUUGCAUGUGUGCGCCCUAGCCUGCACGGGCAAGCAAGUCAGGAUGCCACUUGCCCCAUCAGAGCGGUCCCCCGCCCGCCCAGUGCCACAUAAUGCGGUGUGCCUUCUACCAUGCGACCAUACUACACACACAUACAGUCUGCGUUUACCCUAUCUCGUGUUUUCGAACACAGACAGGACGCACACGUUGCACCGGCUGUGGACAGCGGGCCGGCGCCCUCCCAGCACGGCACUGGCACUGGCACUGCUCGCGAGCACACACGCACCCACCUGGGGCGGGCUGCUGGCCACCACGCCCAGCGGCUUGACCUCGAAGGCGUAGGUGGCCACCACGUUGGGGUGGUGCAGACUGGUGGAGAUGGCGGCCUGCAGGCAGAGGGGUUGGGGGAGGGGUGGGGUGGAAGAGAGGGCGGGAGGAGGAGGGGCGGAACGGGGUGCAGAGGAGGGGAGGAGAGGUGAAGCGAGGGAGAGGGAGGAGGGGAGGAGAGGUUAAGCGGGGGAGAGGGAGGAGGAGAGGGAGGGGAAGAAGGAGCCACCCGCUCACCCGCCAACCAGCCCGCCAGCCCGCUCGCCCGCCCGCCAACCCACCCACCGGUCCGCUAACCCGCCCGCCCGCUAACCCCCGCACCUCCAGGAUGGCUCGCUGCCGCCGCCGCCCCUCCGUGCCCAGCAGUGCGUCGUGCACCACCAGUGUCUUCACCGCCACCCGCAGGCCGCGCCAGGUGCCCAGGUACACGACCCCAAAGCUGCCCUUGCCCAGCACCGUGGUGAUUCGCAGCUGCUCCUGGCGCCCCGACAGCUCCGCCUGUAGACCACAGGUGGCAAACAGGGAGGAAAGCUUGCGCCGUGGUUGGGGUGGUUGAUUGGCAGUUGGCCGGAUGUCCUGCGGGUUGGAAACCUAGAGGAGGCGUGUGGAACCACCUCCACUCCUCACUUGCCAGGAGUAUGGAAGGAGAUGCGGACUGCGCGGCAUACCCUCCCCUCCCUAGCAGCCGCACACUCCUAGCAAGCGCGGCCCCCCGGGAGUCAGCGCACAACCCCAGCACCCCUCAGCACACGCCCCAGCUGCCCCACAAUCCCAGCAGCCCCAGCUGUCGCACUACACGCACGCACCUGCAGGCUGCUGAUGGCUGCUGCCAGGUCGGCGCCGGCACGCGGCGGCGCGGCGGGCGCCGGCAGAUGCAGCGGCGCCUCGGCUGCUGGUCGCGUGGCGUGGAACGAAUGCAGGGGGGGGCAGGUAGGGAACGCGGGCGGACAUGGCGGGGGCGGGUUGUAAAUACCAGCCAAAACUAAACCGAACCCAAGGGGACAGGUAUUAGAGUAACUGGGAGUUGGUACUGGCCCCACACAGGCACAGUGCUACCGCACCGACUCCUUCCUCUGUAUUCGCCUAGCAGCUCACCCGAAGACACCUCCCCCCCGGGCGUGGGCUCCCCUGCAGGCGCCGUGGCGCCGCCGGCGGGCGCCGGCUGCUGCUGCUGCUGCGGCGGCGGCGAGCCGGCGGCGGGCAUCAGGCUGCCGCGCGCCUGCUGCUGGGCCGCCGCUGCCGCUGCCGCCGCUGGCUCCCGGUCGUCCACCAUGGAGCGACUGCUGUAGGCCUGCACGUGUGUGCGUGUGUGUGUGUGUGUGUGUGUGUGUGUGUGUGAAACGAAAGCCCGCCCGCCCGUGUGUGUGCAUGUGCAUGUGUGUGUGCAUGUGCAUGUGUAUGUGUGUGUGUUAAAUAAAAACAAACGGAACAAUGUGUGUGUAUGUGUGUGUGUGUCUGUGUAUGUGUGUGUAAACGGACAGAAGGGAGGAGUUGUUGCACGAAGGACGCGAGCGAAUCUUAUUGCUUCCGUGGGCCCCGUGCAUGUACGUGGGCGCCGAUACAUGUACACGUACGCGGCACAUUCACGAACAACGCAGAUUCCAGCUGCCACGAGUGCCCUGCUACGACAGAGGCAAGAUGGUUGAGUUGGAGCGGGAACGCACCAGCAGCGCGCUCUCAAUGUCCACGGUCUGCAACAAGCUCUUGUCGCCCAGCCGACUCAGUGGCUUGCCCAUGGCAGCGACGGCGGCGGCGGCGCCGCCAGCCGCCGCCGCGGGGCUGCCGCCCGCCGGACGGACCAGGGCCCCGGAAUCCGCGCCGGUGCCUCCAGUCGCCGGCGGCGGCGUGCCAACCGCCCCAACCGCCACGGGACGAGCGCCCACCGGGAUACGGUUUUGCGCGGCAUCAUCCACAAUGACCAGCUGUACGGAGGGCAUGGCUGCGAGCGCGGCGGCGGCUGGCGGGGGCGCGCCGCUGCCUCCGCCGCCGCCUGCAAGGAAUGACGCGGCGGCUGAGGCGUUGGCUGCCGCCGCGGCAAGCAACGCCAUGGUCUCCGCGGCAGUUGGCGCCGCCGCCGCCUGCUGGUGUAACCGCUCAAACGCCUGUCCGCACGAAGACGAAAGGACAUAUACACAUUGCCUGGGUUUGACUUACGGUUUGCUGCCUCUGACCAGUCCGUUGUACAAUUUCGUCCACUCCUUCUCGUCUAGAAGGUACUGCAGCCACCCCUUACCUGGAGCCCCCGUCUCUUACUCCCACCCGCUCACCUGCUCCUGCUGCUCCUGAACACAGCUGGCGGCAGCAGCAGCAGCUGCCGCUGCGGCUGCGGCAGCGCCCCUCGGCGUCGCCGCAGGUGACGCCCCAGCCGCCACCGUCACGCCGUUACCGUUGCCCUUCGCAGUUGCGGCUCCAACUGCCACCUUCCCGCCCAUUCCACUACCGUUUCCAUUACCGUUGGCGCCGUGCCCGUUGGCUAAGCCGCUCUCAUCGCUGCUGCUGCCGCCCCAAGGCGCCAGCUCAAUUGAGCCGCCGACAGGGCCGCCGGCGGCCUUGCGCGCAGCAGCGGCGGCCUCGGCGGCGCGCCGCUGGUGGCGGCGGCGGCAGAACAGCACUCCCAGGAUGACGAGCGCUGAGGCUGCCACCACACCCACCGACACGCCCACUGCGUAAGACAAGUACAGUAAACAAUACAUCCGGGAGGGAGGGGUGCAUGAGCGCCGUGUGCGGCAUUUAGGUAUGACACACACACACACACACACACACACACACACACACACACAUACACACACACACGCACGUCGCCCGUCAGGCGUAAUGAACACAAGCAAACCAACCCGCAAUUGCUACGGCGCUCGAGCCGCCGCCACCACCACCAGCAGAAUCCGCCGCUGCCGGCGGUGGCGAGGGGCUGGCAUUGCCUUCCAGGGCAAUGCCAGCGCCGGGGCUGCCGGGGUUGCCAGUGCUGCUGCUGAGACCCGGAGGGGCGGGCGAAGGCCGAAGCGGCGAGGGAGAAGGAGAGGAAGGCAGGGAAGUGGGAGGGUCUGGGGUGCUCCGCGGCGGCGUGGGUGUGGCGGGUGGAGGCGAGGGCGCCAGCGGUGGUGCGGGGUUGGGUGGCGGCGAGGGGCUGGGCGGGCUGGGCGGCGGAUAGCUCACGGGGUCUGCGGGCGGCAGGAAGCAGACGGCAGGGUCGUUCAAGCGGAGGGCGAGGUGGUGUCAAUGACAUGUAAAAUGCAAGGCAACCUCCAUCUCCAUCCAGGCCAUGAUAUUUCUUAACCCUUCCCAGCCCGCGCGCCCUCUCCCGCCCGCCCUGCAGCUCUGAUCUACGGCAUCUGCCCCCGCACCGUAGGUGGGCUCGUAGCUGAGCAGGGGUGUGGGUGCGCCCGGCGGCAGCACGGCGGUGAUCACCGUGUCGUAGGCGACCCAGUUGCGCGGCAGCCCCAGGUAGGAGAGGGCGAUGGUGUCGUUGGUGUACCAGGACACCUGUGGCGGCGAGGAGCGGGUGGCGGGGCGGCGGAACCCCGGCGGGGAGGGGGGUGCAGGAGGCUGAUUGAGGAAGUAUCGAUCGAGGUCGAUCGCCGAACUGGGUUUUGCGGGAGUAGCGCGUGAGGAGCCGUUGGCAGAGAGGGGUAGCCGUCCAUGAAAUACGGAGUGAGUUAAGAAUUUGUUUGAAGUGCCGGCGUCCAGAGGGGGUGAGGUUUGGUGUUCAACGUGACGAGCGCGCGUCAAGCACCAUACGGCCUAAGCUGUGUAUGGUCUCAGCUAUGCAUGCACCGUGUGCAGUGGCCCGCACCGUUGCGGCCAGCGCUGCGGCCCGCAGCGUUUCAGCCGCCUUGCCGGGAACCACCACCGAGCUAUUGCUGCUGCUACUGCUGUUGCCACUGCCGGCCGUCUGCUGCAGCGUCCUCCUGCUACUGCCACCGCCACUGCUACUGCCCCUGCCGAGCAGCAGGCGCCGCUGGAGUGCGGAGGUGCUGGUGGUGGCGUUGGAGGGCGGGCCGUAGGAGGCAGGCAGCUUUUUGGCCUGCGGAGGGGUGGGUGGGUCAGGCUUAGAGCCACACCACGUUCGCUGGUUGCCGUGUCUGUCGCAACUGCCGUACCGCACAGCACACGUUUCGCCUGAUGCGCCACGCACGGCGCCAACCGUUUCGGGCUCUUUUCCACCCUCCAGGAACUCCCGCCACCCCGCCACCAAGCACUCGACCCGCGCACGCCUCACCCACACGCACGCACCUGCGCCAGCAGGUACAGCCACAGCUGCAACUCCGCCGUCGGUACCACCAGCACCACACGAUACAGCGACAUCAGGCCGUUAUCGGAGUUCGCGGGCCGGGCAAAGUACCAAAGCGGCAGCGUCAGGUUCGCCAAUGUGUCCUCGUAAGCAACCGAGCCGAGCGCCGGCAGCGGGUUGGGCUCGCCCGUGGUUUCGUUGACCGUUGCGUUCCAGUUGGACGAACCGUACAGCAGCAGCUUGCGGUACAGAUCAGACCCCGGUACGGCGAAUCCGCCGCCGUACGGCAGCGCGCCGCCGGGCGCCAGGUUGUACAGCACCAGGUCCUGCAGGGUGGCUGACGUGGAGCCGUACAGCUCGCCUGUGACGCCCUGCAAAUGAAUGAAAGGGAGUGAGAGUGGGCGAGUGAGCGGUAGGGUGUGACCGAGUGCCAAGGCGAUGCUGAAGGAGAUGCAUAUAAGGGGCAUGGAAGGGGUUGGUUGCCGCGUUCCCCUUUUGUGUCGACCUGAUGACUUCCCCCGUCCCGCCAUGGGCUGCAUCUUACCAUCCCAUGCUUCUUACUGGGCCUGGUAAACACAGAACCCUAUCGCAGAGCACAUACACACACACCUUUUCCACACCUUGCCCCCCCCCCCGCACACACUGCACGCACCUGCAGGUCCCAGAACGCCACCUGACCAGUCUGGUUGCCCGGCGGCCCCCGCACGGCGCGGCCGGCCAGGGGGUACUGCGGCCCGAAGUCGCCGGCGGCGGGGUUGUGGCGGGGGGCGGGCUCCGCGCUGGCGAAGAUGGCGCCUGGAGAGGGUUUUGAGACAACUUGGAAGUCACCUUCUGCCCAUUCCUGCUGUGUUUGCUGCCUGAGUUCUGCUCCAAUCCACCGUAGCAGGUAGCCAGAACAGGAUUCCAUCCACCCACCCACAGCCAGCCACCCACAGCCAGCCAGCCACACGCAGCCAGCUGCUCACUUGUUCCGGCGGAGGUGUUGGCUGUGGCCAGGAAUAUGGACGAGGCCCAGCUUGACUGCGCCCCGAUGGAGGCGGCGGCCAGGGAGGAGUUGAUGACCGCGUACUCGCCCAGCGCGGCCUGUGGGAGGGAGGGGAGGAGAGGAGAGGCGGAGGGGGAGGGGAGAGAGAGGCAGAGAAGAGGGAGGAAGGGGUGAGAGGGCUACAGAAGGGGUGGGGCAAUGCGAUUGAUUGCUGGGCAGGGUGUGGCUGCCGAUGCCUGGUAGGCCCGGCCCGGCGGGUGGCCAUGACUGGUGGGCCUUGGGGCCCGCCACAUCCUUCACCAACACCCACACAGCCUGCAGCCGUGCUGCACCAGGCCGCCGCCGCACAUACCAGCCCAACCACCACCCUGACCACCACCAACCCCCACAGCUCACCCACCGUUGCCACCCACCACGCCCACCCACCGCGCCCAACCAACCGCCCACCCACCGCGCCCACCCAACCGCCCAGACCUGGUACGACACGGCGGCGGGCACGCCCUCCAUCAGCGGCCACCAGGCGAUGGUCGCGAACUCGGACCGUGGUGCGUUGGCUGGGCUGUCGUACAGACUCGCAAAGGUGCAGUCGGUGAAGCGCGCCACGCCGCCGGCGUCGUUGAGGCUGGUGACGCGGGUGCCGCGCACGCCGCCACUGGUGCUGGAGCUGGAGCUUGAGGCGGUGACAGGCAGGGUGAAGAGCCGCGCCAGCCAGGGCCUGUGUGUGGGGCGGGGAUUUGGGGGUUGGUGUGUGUGUAUGUGUGUGUGUGUGUGUGUGCGCGUUUGUGAGAGAGUGUAUGUGUGUGUAUGUGUGUGUGUGCAUGAGUGCAUGUUGACAGUGAGGCUUUUGCAAUGAGGGACCAAGGGCAUGGGUGCGACCAGCCGCGCCCGACCCCGCAACCGCAACCGCACCUCAUCAGGCCCAAGCGGAUAGAACGCAUCCACCUCCAUCUUCCUCUGCCCCGCCCACCCAAUGUGCGUGCCACUCCCCCUCCCCCUCCCCACCUGGCCUCCAGUGCGUUGACGCUGCUGGCGGCCAGCAGUGCGGUGUUCCACCAGGACGCCUCCUGGUCCGGCAGCCACAGCACACAGGAGGUUGCGAUGAGCUGGGGGGUGGAGGUGGCGCCGCCGCUGCCGCCCCUGGAGCGCGGUGCAGGAGGAGACGAGGGUAGGGGAAGUGGUAAGGGGGAGAGGGUCGGGGGAGAGGGUCGGGGGAGAAGAGGGGGCAAUGGCAGGGAGUGGGGAGUGGGGAGGCG